UGAAACAUGCAAGAAUUUCAAACCAUAGCAAUUGAUCAGUCGCAUAUCCUCGAUCAGAGGGCAGGCCUGUACAAAAUUAUGGACUAUAUUCUCAUUGAUACGCAUUGCUUUCAUGGAUAACUCCCGUAGAUUUUGGAGCUUUAUAGCAGUAGAAUCACCCACUUCACAUCCGUAGAGCUUCAAUGAAGUUAUUGUCCUAGAAGCAAAUACAAGCUCAGGCAGGGCAUACA
rnacentral:misc_RNA from 1 species